rnacentral:rRNA from 1 species
AGAGUUUGAUCCUGGCUCAGAUUGAACGCUGGCGGCAGGCCUAACACAUGCAAGUCGAGCGGUAGCAGCAAGAAGACUUGCUUUUCUUGAGAGCGGCGGAACGGGUGAGUAAUGCCUAGGAAUCUGCCUGGUAGUGGGGGAUAACGUUCGGAAACGGACGCUAAUACCGCAUACUGUCCUACGGGAGAAAGUGGGGGAUCUUCGGACCUCACGCUAUCAGAUGAGCCUAUGUCGGAUUAGCUAGUUGGUGAGGUAAUGGCUCACCAAGGCGACGAUCCGUAACUGGUCUGAGAGGAUGAUCAGUCACACUGGAACUGAGACACGGUCCAGACUCCUACGGGAGGCAGCAGUGGGGAAUAUUGGACAAUGGGCGCAAGCCUGAUCCAGCCAUGCCGCGUGUGUGAAGAAGGUCUUCGGAUUGUAAAGCACUUUAAUUUGGGAGGAAGCUCAGUAACCUAAUACGUUGCUGAUUUGACGUUACCGACAGAAUAAGCACCGGCUAACUCUGUGCCAGCAGCCGCGGUAAUACAUAGGGUGCAAGCGUUAAUCGGAAUUACUGGGCGUAAAGCGCGCGUAGGUGGUUAUGUAAGACGGAUGUGAAAUCCCCGGGCUCAACCUGGGAACUGCAUCCAAAACUGCAUAGCUAGAGUACGGUAGAGGGUGGAUGGAAUUUCCUGUGUAGCAGUGAAAUGCGUAGAUAUACGAAGGAACACCAGAUGGCGAAGGCGACCACCUGGACUUAUACUGACACUCAUGCGCAAAAGCGUGGGGAGCAACAGGGAUUAGAUACCCUGGUAGUCCACGCCCUAAACGAUGUCAACUAGCCGUUGGGUUCCUUCUGAACUUAUUGCCACACCUAACCCGUUAAUUUAACCCCCUGGGAAUUCCUGCCCCAAGGUUAAAACUCAAAU